UACGGGGGGGGCAAGCGUUGUUCGGAAUUACUGGGCGUAAAGGGUUUGUAGGUGGCCCGCUAAGUCACACGUGAAAUCCCUCAGCUUAACUGGGGAACUGCGUGUGAGACUGGCAGGCUCGAGGGCAGGAGAGGAACGCGGAAUUCCAGGUGUAGCGGUGAAAUGCGUAGAUAUCUGGAGGAACACCGGUGGCGAAGGCGGCGUUCUGGACUGUCUCUGACACUGAAGAACGAAAGCCAGGGGAGCAAACGGG
rnacentral:rRNA from 1 species